rnacentral:lncRNA from 1 species
GUCCAUUUUUGUCAAAGAUCUGCUUUAAUUUUGGAACAACCUUGGCUUGCCAAUAACCCAUCUUUAUUUCUUCAAAUAUUUAUAUCUGUAGCACAAUAAAAAAAGAAUUGUUCAAGAUGAAAAUUCUUGCUAUAUAUACAUGUAUAUAUUUAUUAAUUAAUCCUAUUAAAAAUGAAAAAGGAAGAAAGGAACUAGGCAUAUUUGCUAUUGUGAACACCUUGAAUAAGAUUAUGAAUUUAAUAAACUUAAAAAAAAAAGAUUUAACACUAAAAAUGAAGAGAAAACAAGAAAGAAUUAAGUGUAGUAAGUUUCACUUACAUGGAUGAAGAAAGAAAAUUGAAAUCUCUCCUCUUUGUUUGCAAAUUGUGGCUCUAGCUUUUGGCCCUCUAAUAAUAAAACAGAUAACUGUUGUGCUCGUGUUUAUAUAUAUAGGGACAAUUUAGCAAAACUCUUAUUUUUGUAGCCAACUGUGCUUCCAAAUAUAUGGCCUGGCACAAAGACUUAUUUCCAACCAAAUACCCCCUGUCUU